rnacentral:rRNA from 1 species
AGACCUGUUAAAUCUUCUGAUCCAAUUGAUGUUCUUAACAUCAAAUUAAAACGGUUCAAGAAAUUCUUUAAAGGAUGGGGAUCUGAUAAAUUUGGUCAUGAAAAGAAGAGAAUUUUUUUUAUCAAAAAGGAACUUGCACACAUAGAAUCUAUGGAAGAUCAAGGACUCCUCGACUCUGAUAUGUUAGACAAACGUGAUACCCUUAGUGGUGAGCUACAACAGCUUAUGGUUAAUGAGGAACUAUUCUGGCUCCAACAGUCCCAUGAAACAUGGCUACUGAAAGGAGACUAGAAUACUGCCUUUUUCCAUAGGAUAGCCAAUGGAAAGAAGAGGAAAAAUACCAUUCAUUCCUUCUCACAUGGUGACACCACCAUUGAGGGGACGGGUAACUUGCUUAAACACGCUACGGAGUUCUACAAGGAACUUUUCAGACCGGCACCUGGAAAUCUGUUCCAUUUAGAUCCUGAUACUUGGUGGGGUAAUGAAAAGCUAACGGCUGAGGAAAAUGAAUUUUUGACUAGACCGUUCAGCGAGGAGGAGGUCAAGCAAGCUUUAUUCUCUAUGGAUAGUAAUAGAGCCCCUGGGCCCGAUAAUGUCCCAGCAGAAUUCUAUCAAUUUUGUUGGGAUGUUGUAAAGCAAGAUAUUAUGAAUCUAUUCAUAGCUUUUCAUGAAGGCUCCCUUAAUGUAGAGAGACUGAAUUAUGGGACUAUUACACUGAUUCCUAAGAUCAAUAGAGCGAAAAUAAUUCAAGAGUUUCGACCCAUUUGCCUGUUGCGUUGUCCUUAUAAGCUUAUAACAAAAGUGUUGGAUAACAGAGUGGCGAUGUUUGCUCAUAAACUUAUCAACCGUCCCCGGAAUGCUUUUAUUAAAAAACACAAUGUUAUGGAUGGGAUUCUGACGUUGCAUGGGUUAUUGCAUCAUACUCAAGCCAAGAAAAAAGUGGGGAUUGUCAUUAAACUUGACUACGAGAAGGCAUACGACAAGGUUAACUAG